rnacentral:rRNA from 1 species
AGCGAUCGUUGGCGGCAGGCCUAACACAUGCAAGUCGAGCGAGGCUUCGAGCCGAGCGGCGGACGGGUGAGUAUAACUUGGGAAUCUACCCUGGAGUGGGGGACAACGUUUGGAAACAGACGCUAAUACCGCAUAAUCCAUAUUGGGAAAGCUUUUGCGCUCUAGGAUGAGCCCAAGCCUGAUUAGCUUGUUGGUGAGGUAACGGCUCACCAAGGCAACGAUCAGUAGCUGGUUUGAGAGGAUGAUCAGCCACACUGGGACUGAGACACGGCCCAGACUCCUACGGGAGGCAGCAGUGGGGAAUAUUGGACAAUGGGCGCAAGCCUGAUCCAGCCAUGCCGCGUGCACGAUGAAGGCCCUAGGGUUGUAAAGUGCUUUCAGCGAUGAGGAUAAUGACGUUAAUCGCAGAAGAAGUCCCGGCUAACUCCG